rnacentral:hammerhead_ribozyme from 1 species
AUCUAGCCGAUGAGUUCCGAAUAGAACGAAACGCGCGUCCUGGUU